rnacentral:snoRNA from 1 species
GAAUAUGAUGAUUCGUUAUUCACACUGUUUGAUCCUGCCUCUGGUAUGGAAAUGAACAUCUUUAUACAAAAUCUGAUUUAAUGAGG